UAUAAUGCAUUCAACCUUCAAUUUGUCUUUCUGUAGGUACCACAAUCAUGGCACCAAUCAGCACAGAUAUAGUAGGCUGGGCGGUCUCAGAGCAACCAGAGGCUGCAUUUCUUUCCAUAGUCGUCCUCUUCAUCGUUAGCAUCGCACUCCUCGUUCUCUGUGCAAUCUGUAAAAAACAUUCAUUUGAGUUAGACAGCCACAGCACACCCGAGCAACAGAAGGCAUCCACACUUGUGAGCGUGGCAAAAAUGGAUGAUUCAAGAGGUGCCAGACAAAACCCUGCUGCUAUUGACAUCACAGAAGAUGAAAUCGGUUUAGAGGCUGUGGAGGGUGACGUUGCGUACAGACCGUGGAGAAGUCACACUCUCACUCACGGUUCAAGCCUACAACCUCAAAUAAAUGGCGGGUUUGGGACAGCGACAGAGGGUUCGGUAACACUUCAAGCUCUCUGAGAAAGUGUGACAAAAGUGGAGUCGCUGUUGUAGGCGAAACACCACCGACUUUGAAUGCCUGCAGAGAGCUCCACCAUCUUUAUUAUGCAACCUCAAAUGCUCAAACUAAACAAACCCCUACACUAUUUGGAGUUAAAUGGUUUCUGUAUCCUUCUGAAGCCAGGCUGAGGUCCUGCUUUGUGGCAUUGACUCCCAUAAGUGCCCAUCAAACUUUGAGACUAUAGGAACUACAGGAGCACCCGAUCGGUCCCUCAGCAUUGACUGGACUGAUUCAAAGCUGAAUACUUAUGCAAUGGUUCAGACAGUCUCUGGCAAGAAUGGUCAGUGUCCCUUAGGGGAGGGAGCCUGAUCUUCUGGCCACACCUGUUUUGACAAAUAGGGAUCUCUAUUCAGGUGGCCACAGAUUAAACACAACAUAAACAAGAAAAUCAGGUGUCAUCUCCAUCUGAAGAGGAGGGGGAAGUGUCGGCAUCAUUACCAAAGAGACCUAAACAAAAAUGAAGGUUUUCCUUUUAAUCUUUUUCUAAUGAAGUCCAGUAUUGUGAAAUUAUUCUGUAUUCAUAUUCAUUCUUAGUAGGGGCGCAAUAUAGACUUUAUCUCUCAGAUCAACUGGUCUGUAUAUGUUUAAGUUUAUGGAUUUAAAUAGCAGCAUACUAGUGAUUACUUUUAGGUUUUGAAUAAAUGUAUGAAUUCCAGUGGGCAUGAAUGAUGUAAUUAAAGUAACAGAUGCUUUAGAAUGAACCCUCUUGUUCUGGUGAGAUUGACUUUAUUCUUUUAUUAAGGGAAAUAUUUGCUCCAUAGUAUUUGGGCUUUUAUUUUUCUUACUUUUUGAACUUUUGUGAAGGCAUUUAGAGGCUGAAAUUCUUACAUAAUCUUUGAAAUAAUUAGAUCUGAAAUAUUUUUCUUUAAAAAUAAGAAGCAGGGAG
rnacentral:lncRNA from 1 species